GGCUAACUACGUGCCAGCAGCCGCGGUAAUACGUACGGGGCGAGCGUUGUUCGGAAUUACUGGGCGUAAAGAGUGUGUAGGCGGUGCUCUAAGUCCGGUGUGAAAUCUCCGGGCUCAACUGGGAGGGUGCGCCCGAAACUGGAGUGCUUGAGUGUGGGAGAGGAAAGUGGAAUUCCUGGUGUAGCGGUGAAAUGCGUAGAUAUCAGGAGGAACACCUGUGGUGUAGGCGGCUUUCUGGACCAUUACUGACGCUGAGGCACGAAAGCGUGGGUAGCAAACAGGAUUAGAUACCCUGGUAGUCCACGCCCUAAACGAUGCAUACUUGGUGUCGGCGAUUCAGUU
rnacentral:rRNA from 1 species